GCCUACGGGACGCAGCAGUGGGGAAUAUUGCACAAUGGGGGAAACCCUGAUGCAGCGACGCCGCGUGAGCGAUGAAGUAUUUCGGUAUGUAAAGCUCUAUCCGCAGGGAAGAAAAUGACGGUACCUGACUAAGAAGCCCCGGCUAACUACGCGCCAGCAGCCGCGGUAAUACGUAGGGGGCAAGCGUUAUCCGGAUUUACUGGGUGUAAAGGGAGCGUAGACGGCUGUGCAAGCCAGAUGUGAAAGCCCGGGGCUCAACCCCCGGACUGCUCUGGACACUGUACGGCUGGAGUGCAGGAGAGGAA
rnacentral:rRNA from 1 species